ACAAGAGAGGUCAACUGGAGUGGAAGCCAAAGGACGGGGCCGAGAAUAUGUGAUCGAUCCGAAGAACCACUCCCAGAUACGAUUCUGCUCCCCCUUCGUACUACCAUGAGAUUCUUGCCCGGCUUUCUUUCGGCUUAAGAAGGCUGCGGUGAGAAUGAGAAUCACUUCGGAACUCUAGGGGAAUGGGCGUUUUAGGGCGGGAUCUAAAAGCUCUCCAACGUGUUGCGGAGCCUUCGGCCGUGAGAGGGUGGAUGUAAUUCAGCUCGAACGAAGUGAGAGGGAGGUCAUUCAGAACCCGCUGGCUCCAGAACGGGGGGGCGGCUCCAGAGGCGCUGCCGCAGGCGCCAGCACCGACAUAAAUUGCCCACCCCGCUCCCGAUCAAAAAGAGCAUGCGAGACUUCGAAGGGACAUUCACACU
rnacentral:lncRNA from 1 species